rnacentral:lncRNA from 1 species
CAGAAAAGUCAGCUGAGCGUCUCACCAAAGAAAGUUACCCCACAGAGGCCAAAACUCUUUGUUUGCCUGCUGUGGACAGAAGCAUGGCAAGUGCACAUCCUGCCACUGAAUUUCACCGCUCAGCUUGCCCAGUCACACACAGCUGUAUCUGCAUACACACGCAGACUGCAAGACACACAAGGGAAGAGAAAGCCCUUGCAGAGAAACUUCAUCAGCAAGCUUGAGAACUGACAGCACUACUGGUUGUGUAAGAUGUCACAGUAAGCACUAGCAACCCAGUCUAUGUGAUCCUGGUAUCAGCUUCUCCUGCUCCCUUUUUGAACCUGAGGACCAGCUUCAGCUACCUUUGAAAAAGGCCUUUGGAAGGAGCAGCCUUAUGAGGUUCAUGGGAACAGCCAGUUCAGGAACAGCACCUGUCCUAGCAGAGAGGAAGGAUGCAGCAUGGACACAAACCACAGCACCCACAGAGCUGCUUGUUCUGCUCUAUCUUCUAUACGCUGAUUCAGGAACAACACAGAUGUGGGUUCAGUUUUUUUAAGACACACUUGGUUGGACCAUUUCACCAGAUGGAAUAAACAGAGAUGACACGGUGGACUAACA